UACGGAGGGGGCAAGCGUUGUUCGGAAUUACUGGGCGUAAAGGGCGCGCAGGCGGCUGCUCAAGUCAGGUGUGAAAACCCUGGGCUCAACCUGGGAAAGUCGCUUGAUACUACUUAGCUAGAGUACUAUAGAGGACAGUGGAAUUUCCGGUGUAGCGGUGAAAUGCGUAGAUAUCGGAAGGAACACCAGUGGCGAAGGCGACUGUCUGGAUAGAUACUGACACUGAAACACGAAAGCAUGGGUAGCAAACAGG
rnacentral:rRNA from 1 species